rnacentral:rRNA from 1 species
AAACUUUGCAAUGUGCGAAAGCACGACAAGGUUAAUCCGAGUGGUUCCUGCUAAAGGAAUCUUUUGUUAGUCAUAAUACCACUGAUGAAUAAGGGGUGGGCAAGUUCUGGUGUCAGCCGCCGCGGUAAAACCAGCACCUCAAGUGGUCAGGAGGAUUAUUGGGCCUAAAGCAUCCGUAGCCGGCUUUGUAAGUUUUCGGUUAAAUCUAUAUGCUCAACAUAUAGGCUGCCGGGAAUACUGCAAAGCUAGGGAGUGGGAGAGGUAGACGGUACUCCGUAGGAAGGGGUAAAAUCCUUUGAUCUAUGGAUGACCACCUGUGGCGAAGGCGGUCUACCAGAACACGUCCGACGGUGAGGGAUGAAAGCUGGGGGAGCAAACCGGAUUAGAUACCCGGGUAGUCCCAGCUGUAAACUAUGCAAACUCAGUGAUGCAUUGGCUUGUGGCCAGUGCAGUGCCGCAGGGAAGCCGUUAAGUUUGCCGCCUGGGAAGUACGUACGCAAGUAUGAAACUUAAAGGAAUUGGCGGGGGAGCAC